ACUAACGAAACAAUUUGUUUUUCAGGUCAGCAGUAUUAAAAAAACAGCUAUUGAUAUCACAGUGAAAACAAGAAAUAAACAAAUCAGGGAGAAAACGAAUGCUCUAGGGUUGCAAUUACUACAUGAGAAAUAACAUAUUAAAGCUGGAGAAUUUUUUGCUAUAGACUUACCACUAAUGUUCGAGAUAAUGACAGCUUGUUCCACCUUCAUGUUAAUAACGAUACAGUUUAUUGAAGUCAAAAUAUAAUUAUUCUAAGUGGGUAUAGUCAGAAAUGAUUAUUCAGCCAUAAUAAGAUGUCCCAACGUUUGCUUUAAAUAUUGAGAUUGGAAUUUGAUGUGUUUAUGUUAUAAUAUAAAGUUUUACACAUUUUCAUUAGCAACAUUUUUCGAAUUUUUUGUUUGCUUGUUGUUUGUAUUUUUUAUGGAAAAACUGAUGACUGGAAUAUUUCAUUCGUACCUAAACAUGUUCCAUUCUCAACUAAAAAAACGAGGGGUCAUCCAGUUCUUACAUGACUCUUAGAAAUAUACAGGGUAGUAGGUAAUGGGAAUUUCGUAUGUGAAUUUGCCAUGAUCAGACGAGUUAAAAACUCUUAUAUCAUUUUUCCAAAAAGUGCAUACUUAUUAUCACAUCUGUUGAGAGUCGCUGUGUGGCUUAUGGUAGUUUAUGAGCAGAUAAUUUUUUUCUGUAAACAAAAUGGGAAUGGUGGCACAUGGGCAUUUUAAGAAUUUUUUAAAAUUGUGGCAAACAAGUUCAUUUCUGUGGGAGGUUUGAAUCCUGGUCCUGGCAAAACAUUUGUUUUUUUUUCGUAAUAUUUAAUAACAAUACACAAACUGAAAAUGAAAAAUAACGUAGUGGACCAUGAAAGUUAUUUACCUUUGGUGUUUUGUCAAUAUGUAAUAUUAAAAUUUACGCUAAUUUUUAUAAUUCUAGUUCAGCGGUUCUCAAAAUUUGUGAGUUUAGUUUUAGAACGAUUUUUUGGGAAAACUAUGCAUGCAUUUUUGAUUUACAUAAAUUUUGCUUAAUCGAUUUGUCUUGCCAUUCAGUAUCUACCUUUAAAUUUUUGUUAAACCAUUCCCUAAUACGCUGUACAUUACUUAAUUAUUACGUAACAAUAAGUGGAUAUUCCGGUCUAAAAGUGACACAAGCCACACAAAAACUUUUAGAUAAAGCCAAAAAGAUGUUAGCAAAACAAGUAUGAAUUUAAAACGUUGAAACAGCUUCAAAAUUGUCCAAAUUUCAAUGAAAAAAGAAACGGAAAAGUUGGAUAAUGCAGCAGAAUAUGGUUUAGAUAUAAUUUCAGUAAAUUUGGAGCAAUGGAAUUAGGCGUUACCAACAUCUUCAAAAAAUAUAUCUAAAGUCUCAGAGUGUGAGCAGCUGAAAAAAUUUUGAAUUAGAAAAAUUACACUAUGUUAAGUUGGUUUGCUUUUUAUCUCUCCGAUAGAACUCAGCAAGUUAAGAUUGAAAAUCAAUUUUCGUACACGGUGGUCAAAAGAAACAUUUAAAUAUUAGAUUUUUAGAAACUAAAAUUUUUAAGAAAGAAAAAUAAUUGUUCAAAGGUAAGUAAAAGUUGAAGAUAAUAAAGAAAUAACAUAAAAUGAAGUAAAAGUCAAAGCGAAACAUUAACUGAAAGCUUUUCAUCUUUUGAUGACGAACACGAAAGUAGUUCGAAAGCAAUGAGAAACAGAAAUAAUUAAAAAAAUUGAGGAUGCAAUCUAAAAUUAAAUGUGGCUAGAAAUUGUGAAUUGGAACCUAAAAUGUAACUAACAUUGCUCUAUAACUUAUCUCUCGCGAUCCUAAUCAAGCACUCAACCUGCUUUUGUUUGAAAAUAUACAGGGUGAAUCUGUGCUAAAGGUUUAUCUCAAAAACUAUUAAACAAACAUUAAUCAACAUAUAUUAUUAAUAGGGACCGGAUUUCUAGAAAGUUAUACCGGGUUCGUCAAGUUUUACUCUCAGGCACUUCACACCUCUUAGAAGAGAGAAAAAAAAUAUGAAAUAAGUAUAUUCCACUGCACUGAUAUCCAAUCUCGCUAGGAAAAAAAUAUUUUUUUCUAUUGAUUCAUUUGUCCAAUAAAAACGAAAAAAACCAUUUGAACAAAAAAUCACAUUAGCUGUUUUUUACAUCAAUGGAUCGGAAAUACGAAAUAAAAUUAUUUUGCAAAAAUUUGACUUGAAAAAAAUCGUUAGAAUUGGAUUAAAAGCCAUUUUGAUAUUAUUCAUCCGAAAUUUCUGUAUAAUUUAUGAAGGACAAGAUUGAGUAGUAAUAAAUCUUCGCUACAAAAGGAUCCACUACCUACCCAAAUAACAGUAAUAACUGCAUUUAAAGCCAGGUUUUAAAGCCAGGACCGGAAUAAGCACACUAACGUGUUAAAAAUGUUUUUAUUUAAAAAUUACACCAGAAGUUCAAAUUGAUGACUAUUUUGGUCUAAGCACAAACGACUUCUUCCUUUACAAUGUAAGUGAUUUUGAGUAAGUGAGCAAAUUUUCAAUUCAUUGGGACAACAGGAAUCCUUUUAAAUUUGGCUUCGAAAAUAUGAAACAGACAGACAAACAACAAAACAAGUUAAAUAAAAAAAAUUAAAAACAAACAAUCCUAGAAUAGUAGAACUUUCACACAACUAACUAAAAUCUACACUGUCGGUUUUAAUAAUUAAAAUAAAUAAAUUUUUUAAAUCAAAAUUAACAAUCGUGAACACUGCAUUUUUUACACUUUUACAUAUUUUUUCCAAAACACUUUUAUUAUCAAAGCUUAUUUCCAAAUUGGACACUUAAUAAAUGGAGAAUGAUAAGAUUCGAUGUCUAAAUGCCUAUCAAUAGUUCAUUUUCUCAUAUUUUUUUGAAAAAUUCACAGAUAGUAGAUGAGAAUCAUUUGAAAACACAUCUGAAUUUUAGACAAUACAUUCAAAUUAACAACUCAGCUAACGAACCUGAUUAAAGUGUUUGUUAAAAGAAACCCUUUGAAUGCAUAAGUAUCCAGUAACUGUGACAUAUAUGACAAGUAAUUUAAAGUCUUUGUGAACCAAUAGCGCUUAAUCAAGUUAAAUUAGCAACUAACCGUCUUCCACGUGGAAAUUUUUGUAGAGUGCAUACAAUACGUUAUGCUAAACGUAAUUAGACAUAAGUGCGUU